AAUAACCAAAAAUAACUCCUGCGUUUGUUGUUGGAUUUGUAAUUAAACGAACAUCUCCACCACCUGGUGCCCAAGUAUCGUACACACCACCAAAGUAAAGAGCUUUCCAAACUAAUAACCAAGCACCUAAACCUAAAAUAAUUAAAUGGUAACCUAAAAUGUUAGUCAUUUUGUUUUUAUCUUUCCA
rnacentral:antisense_RNA from 1 species